rnacentral:tRNA from 1 species
AACUGGAUAGCCUAAUUGUCAAAGGCAGUGCUUCUAGCAAUGAUGAGGACCCAGGUUCAAAUCCUGGUCUAGUCA